UGGGGAAUCUUGCGCAAUGGGCGAAAGCCUGACGCAGCAACGCCGCGUGUGUGAUGAAGGUCUUCGGAUCGUAAAGCACUGUCGGGAGGGACGAAUAAGGGCCGGGUGAACAAUCCGGUCCGACGACGGUACCUCCAAAGGAAGCACCGGCUAACUCUGUG
rnacentral:rRNA from 1 species